AAGCAAGAAGCGAAAAAUCGCAACCAGUUUCGACCUGGCUCUUGGUAAAACCACUACCCUUACUUU
rnacentral:tRNA from 1 species